GAUGAACGCUGGCGGCGCGCCUAACACAUGCAAGUCGAACGGCACCCCUCCUCGGAGGGAAGCGAGUGGCGAACGGCUGAGUAACACGUGGAGAACCUGCCCCCUCCCCCGGGAUAGCCGCCCGAAAGGACGGGUAAUACCGGAUACCCCGGGGUGCCGCAUGGCACCCCGGCUAAAGCCCCGACGGGAGGGGAUGGCUCCGCGGCCCAUCAGGUAGACGGCGGGGUGACGGCCCACCGUGCCGACAACGGGUAGCCGGGUUGAGAGACCGACCGGCCAGAUUGGGACUGAGGCACGGCCCAGACUCCUACGGGAGGCAGCAGUGGGGAAUCUUGCGCAAUGGGGGGAACCCUGACGCAGCGACGCCGCGUGCGGGACGGAGGCCUUCGGGUCGUAAACCGCUUUCAGCAGGGAAGAGUCAAGACUGUACCUGCAGAAGAAGCCCCGGCUAACUACGUG
rnacentral:rRNA from 1 species